rnacentral:lncRNA from 1 species
GCAAGCCACAACAAGAGCCACUACCUUACUCCACUCGCUGCAAUGGAUUCCAUGCGGUUCCACCACUCUCUGACAAGCCACGACAAGAGCCGCCAUCCUGCUCCACUCUCUGCAAUGGAUUCCAUGCAGCUCCACCACUCUCUGGCAAGUCCCGACAACGGACACCACUCCACUCUCCGCAACAAGCUCCACGUGGCCCUGAACGACCCCUGACGCCACUACUCUCCGUAACAAACUC